GCAGGGGUAGUGAAGCGGUCAAACACGACUGACUGUAAAUCAGUUGGCAUUCGCCUUCGGGGGUUCGAAUCCCUCCCCCUGCACCA
rnacentral:tRNA from 1 species